AUGAUGAACAAAUGGAAUUACCUAAUUGGAGAAAAAGGCUUUAACGUUGAGAAAUUUGAAUCUGAGAAGACGGUCACGAUGUACAGUGACCCAUCUGUCAAAGCCCUUACAAACUGUGAAGAAUCUAUCUUGCCCCAAUUUUACUACUACUGCCUCUUGCUUUGCUGGUUAAUCAUUUUUUUCUUUUUUGUUUUAAGUUUUU